rnacentral:rRNA from 1 species
AUUCCGGUUGAUCCUGCCGGAGGUCAUUGCUAUCGGAGUCCGAUUUAGCCAUGCUAGUCGUGCGAGUUCAGACUCGCGGCAUAUAGCUCAGUAACACGUGGUCAAGCUACCCUACAGAGAACGAUAUCCUCGGGAAACUGAGGCCAAUAGUUCAUAAGGUUCCCAAGCUGGAGUGCCGGGAACUGGAAACGUUCCGACGCUGUAGGAUGCGGCUGCGGUCGAUUAGGUAGACGGUGGGGUAACGGCCCACCGUGCCGAUAAUCGGUACGGGUUGUGAGAGCAAGAGCCCGGAGACGGAAUCUGAGACAAGAUUCCGGGCCCUACGGGGCGCAGCAGGCGCGAAACCUUUACACUGCACGCAAGUGCGAUAAGGGGACUCCGAAUGCGAGGGCAUAUAGUCC